CAGAGCAAAGCCUUUGAAUGCUGUUCGCCUGCUUUAGUAUCCGUAACUGCCGCCUACUCCAUGACUGUAAUCUACUUUCACUUCCUUUAGUGCUUUACCUUUCUUUCCCUAGUGUGACCGAUUCGAUAGACAUUGCUUUUUAUUGUAUGCAACAUUAAAAGGGUUAUUUCUGUUACAGAAGAAACCUCUUGUAAAUGCUAAGCAACAGAUACAAAAAAAAAAAAAGUGCCGGUAACGUCAAUUCCAACGUCACAGCGGUGUUUUUAGUCACUUGAAUGGCCACGUGUGAAGAAUAAUAACGUAAAGUGACACAAUUUUCGUUGCUGACACCACUGAUAAAGGCAUGGAAACCGAAGUGGCACAUAUCAUUUCUAUGAGCAUUUCGUCUUCUAUUUACGGCCUCACACUCAACACGGAGGCCUACAUCAAGUACCUGGAGGAAGUAGUGCUGCCCUGGGUCAAGAGAGUGGCUGCUGGAAGAUCCUAUGUGUGGCAACAAGACUGCACUAUGCUACACUAGCAGGAGAACCCAGUCAUGACUGUCAGACAAUUUCUACAACCACAUAACCCCUAACAUCUGGUUACCUAACUCCCCAGGCUGCAAACGCCUUGAUUAUUAUGUAAGGGGCACAGAUGAGCGAGAGACACCAAAGAUGAACUGAAGGCAAGGAUUAUGGUAGCAUUCACCAAGACAAGGAGAUCGUCCAGAAGGGUUGCAGGAGAUUCCGAAGUCGUCUGGAAGCCGUGG